rnacentral:rRNA from 1 species
GAUGAACGCUAGCUACAGGCUUAACACAUGCAAGUCGAGGGGAAACGAUAUUGGAAGCUUGCUUCCGAUAGGCGUCGACCGGCGCACGGGUGAGUAACGCGUAUCCAACCUGCCCUUGUCCAUCGGAUAACCCGUCGAAAGGCGGCCUAACACGAUAUGCAGUUCUCCGCAGGCAUCUAACGAGAACGAAAUGUAAAGGAGAAGGAUGGGGAUGCGUCUGAUUAGCUUGUUGGCGGGGGAACGGCCCACCAAGGCGACGAUCAGUAGGGGUUCUGAGAGGAAGGUCCCCCACAUUGGAACUGAGACACGGUCCAAACUCCUACGGGAGGCAGCAGUGAGGAAUAUUGGUCAAUGGGCGAGAGCCUGAACCAGCCAAGUAGCGUGCAGGACGACGGCCCUAUGGGUUGUAAACUGCUUUUAUGCGGGGAUAAAGUGAGCCACGUGUGGCUUAUUGCAGGUACCGCAUGAAUAAGGACCGGCUAAUUCCGUGCCAGCCGCCGCCGUAA